GUCAGGAGGGCCUAUCGGGGUGAUAACACUGCAGUCGAACGAUGAAACUUAAUUGAUUUCUUCGGAAUGAUGUUAAGUGGAUUAGUGGCGGACGGGUGAGUAACGCGUGAGUAACCUGCCUUAGAGAUGGGGAUAGCCUCUGGAAACUGAGAAUAAAACCCAAUGAUACCAAGUUAUCGCAUGAUAGCCUGGUCAAAGAUUUAUCGCUCUAAGAUGGACUUGCGUCUGAUUUGCUAGUUGGGGAGAUAAUAUCUCACCAAGGCAACGAUCCGUAGCCGGCUUGAGAGAGUGUACGGCCACAUUGGGACUGAGAC
rnacentral:rRNA from 1 species